rnacentral:tRNA from 1 species
CAGAGUGCAUCAGCGGCAAUCCCCACUUUGGGGUAGUGGGGGUCGUGGGUUCGAAUCCCGCCGCUCCGA